UAAUACAGAGGGGGCAAGCGUUAUUCGGAAUUAUUGGGCGUAAAGGGCGCGUAGGCGGCCGGACAAGUGGAAGGUGAAAUCCCCGAGCUCAACUCGGGAACUGCCCUCCAAACUGUUUGGCUUGAGUCCGGGAGAGGUGAGUGGAAUUCCCAGUGUAGCGGUGAAAUGCGUAGAUAUUGGGAGGAACACCAGUGGCGAAGGCGGCUCACUGGACCGGAACUGACGCUGAGGCGCGAAAGCGUGGGGAGCAAACAGGAUUAGAUACCCUGGUAGUCCACGCCGUAAACGAUGAGUGCUGGGUGUAGGGGGUAUCGACCCCUCCUGUGCCGAAGUCAACACAUUAAGCACUCCGCCUGGGGAGUACGGUCGCAAGGCUG
rnacentral:rRNA from 1 species